rnacentral:tRNA from 2 species
GCCGGAGUGGCGGAAUUGGCAUACGCGGUGGAUUCAAAAUCCACUGACCGCAAGGUCUUGUGGGUUCGAGUCCCACCUCCGGUA